AGCUCUAAUAGCGUAUAUUAAAGUUGUUGCGGUUAAAAAGCUCGUAGUUGGAUUUUGAGCCUUCCCCUUUCGGUCCAGCUUUAGCUUGGAACUGAUUGGUGGGCUUUCUGUCUGGAAACACACGUAGACUCUUCAUUGGGUCGCGUGCUGGGUCUAGGACAUCUUACUUUGAACAAAUUGGAGUGUUUAAAGCAGGCUUACGCCUUGAACACAUUAGCAUGGAAUAACCAAAUAGGACUUUGGUUCUAUUUUGUUGGUUUUCGGAGCCGAAGUAAUGAUUAAUAGGGACAGUUGGGGGCAUUAGUAUUUAGUUGUCAGAGGUGAAAUUCUUAGAUUUAUUAAAGACUAACUUCUGCGAAAGCAUUUGCCAAGGAUGUUUUCAUUAAUCAAGAACGAAAGU
rnacentral:rRNA from 1 species